GAGUUUGAUUAUGGCUCAGGAUGAACGCUGGCGGCGUGCCUAACACAUGCAAGUCGAACGAAGAAUUUUUUGGAAGUUUUCGGAUGGAAGAAAAAUUACUUAGUGGCGGACGGGUGAGUAACGCGUAAGUAAUCAACCUAUAACACACGAAUAACUAAGAGAAAUCUUAGCUAAUACGAGACGAAGUAAGUAUAUCGGGAGAUAUAAAUAUGAAAGCUGAGGCGGUUGUAGACGAGCUUGCGUCUGAUUAGCUAGUUGGUAGGGUAAGAGCCUACCAAGGCGACGAUCAGUAGCCGGCCUGAGAGGGUGAACGGCCACAUUGGAACUGAGAGACGGUCCAAACUCCUACGGGAGGCAGCAGUGGGGGAUAUUGCACAAUGGGCGAAAGCCUGAUGCAGCAACGCCGCGUGAGCGAAGAAGGCUUUCGAGUCGUAAAGCUCUGUCGUAUGGGAAGAAAAAAAUGACA
rnacentral:rRNA from 1 species